rnacentral:rRNA from 1 species
CNNACNGAGCCUGCUCCAUGAAAUUUAAAUAGCCGCUUUUGUGCUAAGGUAGCAUAAUAAUUUGUCUUUUAAUUAAAGACUAGAACAAAAGGUUUAACAUCUCAAUUAAUAUUUCUAAAAAAUCUAUUUAAAUUAUUUUAAUUGUAAAAAAACAAUUUUAAAAAAGAAAGACGAUAAGACCCUAUCGAACUUUACUUUAGUUUAACUGGGGCAGUUAAUUAAUUAUUAUUUUAAUAAAAUUAAAUGUUUAAUUUGACCUAAUAUUAUUAACAAAAUAAUCAAGUUACCGUAGGGAUAACAGCGUAAUAUAAUUUUUAAGAUCUUAUUUAAAAUAAAGAUUGCGACCUCGAUGUUGAUUUAAUAACCUAAUUUACGCAAUAGUUAAUUAAGGAAGUCUGUUCGACUUUAAAAAAAUUACAUGAUCUGAGUCAAAACCCCGGGAGA